rnacentral:rRNA from 1 species
AGGUCAAGACAUGGGCGUGAUUGACAGGCUAAUGACUUUUCUCGAUUCCAUGGAUGGUGGUGCAUGGUCGCACUUAGUUGGUGCAGUGAUUUGUCAGGUUUAUUCCGGUAACGAACGAGACCUCGGCCUUGUAAAUAGCUAUGCUGCUUACAGGGACAUUGGCGGCUACGCCAAGGAAGCUCGAGGCAAUUGCAGAUCUGGAAUGCCCUUAGAUGUCCUGGGUCGCACGCGUGCUACAAUGACGCCACGAACGAGCUUGCGUGAUGAAAGUUACGCAUAAUCAGCAGUCGGCGUCUUAAGGGAUAGUCUCUUGUAACUGUGGGACUCCAACUAGGAAUGUCUCGUAAGCACAAGUCAACAUCUUGUGUUGAUUACGUCCCUGCUCUUUGUACACACCGCCCGUCGCUCCUACCGAUCGAGUGUUUAGGUGAAUUUGAUGGACGUAAGGAAGUCAAAUAAACCUGAGCACUAGAGAAGAGAGUGACAGAGGGACCGGCAGG